UGCAGUCGACGAACUUCCGUUAAUUGAUUAUGACGUACUUGUACUGAUUGAGAUUUUAACACGAAGUGAGUGGCGAACGGGUGAGUAACACGUGGGUAACCUGCCCAGAAGYAGGGGAUAACACCUGGAAACAGAUGCUAAUACCGUAUAACAGAGAAAACCGCAUGGUUUUCUUUUAAAAGAUGGCUCUGCUAUCACUUCUGGAUGGACCCGCGGCGUAUUAGCUAGUUGGUGAGGCAAAGGCUCACCAAGGCAGUGAUACGUAGCCGACCUGAGAGGGUAAUCGGCCACAUUGGGACUGAGACACGGCCCAGACUCCUACGGGAGGCAGCAGUAGGGAAUCUUCCACAAUGGACGCAAGUCUGAUGGAGCAACGCCGCGUGAGUGAAGAAGGGUUUCGGCUCGUAAAGCUCUGUUGUUAAAGAAGAACGUGGGUAAGAGUAACUGUUUACCCAGUGACGGUAUUUAACCAGAAAGCCACGGCUAACUACGUGCCAGCAGCCGCGGUAAUACGUAGGUGGCAAGCGUUAUCCGGAUUUAUUGGGCGUAAAGCGAGCGCAGGCGGUCUUUUAAGUCUAAUGUGAAAGCCUUCGGCUCAACCGAAGAAGUGCAUUGGAAACUGGGAGACUUGAGUGCAGAAGAGGACAGUGGAACUCCAUGUGUAGCGGUGAAAUGCGUAGAUAUAUGGAAGAACACCAGUGGCGAAGGCGGCUGUCUGGUCUGCAACUGACGCUGAGGCUCGAAAGCAUGGGUAGCGAACAGGAUUAGAUACCCUGGUAGUCCAUGCCGUAAACGAUGAUUACUAAGUGUUGGAGGGUUUCCGCCCUUCAGUGCUGCAGCUAACGCAUUAAGUAAUCCGCCUGGGGAGUACGACCGCAAGGUUGAAACUCAAAAGAAUUGACGGGGGCCCGCACAAGCGGUGGAGCAUGUGGUUUAAUUCGAAGCUACGCGAAGAACCUUACCAGGUCUUGACAUCUUCUGACAGUCUAAGAGAUUAGAGGUUCCCUUCGGGGACAGAAUGACAGGUGGUGCAUGGUUGUCGUCAGCUCGUGUCGUGAGAUGUUGGGUUAAGUCCCGCAACGAGCGCAACCCUUAUUACUAGUUGCCAGCAUUAAGUUGGGCACUCUAGUGAGACUGCCGGUGACAAACCGGAGGAAGGUGGGGACGACGUCAAAUCAUCAUGCCCCUUAUGACCUGGGCUACACACGUGCUACAAUGGAUGGUACAACGAGUCGCGAAACCGCGAGGUUAAGCUAAUCUCUUAAAACCAUUCUCAGUUCGGACUGUAGGCUGCAACUCGCCUACACGAAGUCGGAAUCGCUAGUAAUCGCGGAUCAGCAUGCCGCGGUGAAUACGUUCCCGGGCCUUGUACACACCGCCCGUCACACCAUGAGAGUUUGUAACACCCAAAGCCGGUGGGGU
rnacentral:rRNA from 1 species